AGUGAACGCUGGCGGUAGGCCUAACACAUGCAAGUUGAACGGCAGCACAGUAAGAGCUUGCUCUUACGGGUGGCGAGUGGCGGACGGGUGAGGAAUACAUCGGAAUCUACUUUUUCGUGGGGGAUAACGUAGGGAAACUUACGCUAAUACCGCAUACGACCUACGGGUGAAAGCAGUGGAUCUUCGGACCUUGCGCGAUUGAAUGAGCCGAUGUCGGAUUAGCUAGUUGGCGGGUUAAAGGCCCACCAAGGCGACGAUCCGUAGCUGGUCUGAGAGGAUGAUCAGCCACACUGGAGCUGAGACACCGUCCUGACUCCUACGGGAGGCAGCAGUGGGCAAUAUUGGACAAUGGGCGCGAGCCUGGUCCAGCCAUACCGCGUGGGUGAAGAAGGCCUUCCGGUUGUAGAGCCCUUUUGUUGGGAAAGAAAAGCAGCAGGUUAAUACCCCGCUGUUCUGACGGUACCCAAAGAAUAAGCACCGGCUAACUUCGUG
rnacentral:rRNA from 1 species